CAAGGCGGUCCGGAGUCGAUGGCUUAACAAAACUUACUCAUGAUAGAUAGAUAGAUAGAUAGGCAUGAAAUACGGCCAUCGGCACUAACUUGACUGCCAA
rnacentral:sRNA from 1 species